rnacentral:rRNA from 1 species
GGGUUGUGAGGUUAAGCGACUAAGCGUACACGGUGGAUGCCCUGGCAGUCAGAGGCGAUGAAGGGCGUGCUAAUCUGCGAUAAGCGCCGGUAAGGUGAUAUGAACCGUUAUAACCGGCGAUACCCGAAUGGGGAAACCCAGUGUGACUCGUCACACUAUCAUUAACUGAAUCCAUAGGUUAAUGAGGCGAACCGGGGGAACUGAAACAUCUAAGUACCCCGAGGAAAAGAAAUCAACCGAGAUUCCCCCAGUAGCGGCGAGCGAACGGGGAGGAGCCCAGAGCCUGAAUCAGCAUGUGUGUUAGUGGAAGCGUCUGGAAAGGCGCGCGAUACAGGGUGACAGCCCCGUACACAAAAGCGCAUGUGCUGUGAGCUCGAUGAGUAGGGCGGGACACGUGGUAUCCUGUCUGAAUAUGGGGGGACCAUCCUCCAAGGCUAAAUACUCCUGACUGACCGAUAGUGAACCAGUACCGUGAGGGAAAGGCGAAAAGAACCCCGGCGAGGGGAGUGAAAAAGAACCUGAAACCGUGUACGUACAAGCAGUGGGAGCCCCACCACCAAAGCAUUCUCUGGUGUUGAAGGCCCUGCAAAGCAGCAUCGCGGUGGCGGAGCGUCGUUUGCGACGCCCAACACACAAAACAAGCGGUGAGUGCUUUGGGGUGGGGUGACUGCGUACCUUUUGUAUAAUGGGUCAGCGACUUAUAUUCUGUAGCAAGGUUAACCGUAUAGGGGAGCCGGAGGGAAACCGAGUCUUAACCGGGCGUUAAGUUGCAGGGUAUAGACCCGAAACCCGGUGAUCUAGCCAUGGGCAGGUUGAAGGUUGGGUAACACUAACUGGAGGACCGAACCGACUAAUGUUGAAAAAUUAGCGGAUGACCUGUGGCUGGGGGUGAAAGGCCAAUCAAACCGGGAGAUAGCUGGUUCUCCCCGAAAGCUAUUUAGGUAGCGCCUCGUGAAUUCAUCUCCGGGGGUAGAGCACUGUUUCGGCUAGGGGGCCAUCCCGGCUUACCAACCCGAUGCAAACUGCGAAUACCGGAGAAUGUUAUCACGGGAGACACACGGCGGGUGCUAACGUCCGUCGUGAAGAGGGAAACAACCCAGACCGCCAGCUAAGGUCCCAAAGUCAUGGUUAAGUGGGAAACGAUGUGGGAAGGCCCAGACAGCCAGGAUGUUGGCUUAGAAGCAGCCAUCAUUUAAAGAAAGCGUAAUAGCUCACUGGUCGAGUCGGCCUGCGCGGAAGAUGUAACGGGGCUAAACCAUGCACCGAAGCUGCGGCAGCGACACUAUGUGUUGUUGGGUAGGGGAGCGUUCUGUAAGCCUGUGAAGGUGUGUCGUGAGGCAUGCUGGAGGUAUCAGAAGUGCGAAUGCUGACAUAAGUAACGAUAAAGCGGGUGAAAAGCCCGCUCGCCGGAAGACCAAGGGUUCCUGUCCAACGUUAAUCGGGGCAGGGUGAGUCGACCCCUAAGGCGAGGCCGAAAGGCGUAGUCGAUGGGAAACGGGUUAAUAUUCCCGUACUUGGUGUUACUGCGAAGGGGGGACGGAGAAGGCUAUGUUGGCCGGGCGACGGUUGUCCCGGUUUAAGCGUGUAGGUGUGUGUUCCAGGUAAAUCCGGUUCACUUUAACACUGAGGCGUGACGACGAGGCACUACGGUGCUGAAGCAACAAAUGCCCUGCUUCCAGGAAAAGCCUCUAAGCAUCAGGUAACAUCAAAUCGUACCCCAAACCGACACAGGUGGUCAGGUAGAGAAUACCAAGGCGCUUGAGAGAACUCGGGUGAAGGAACUAGGCAAAAUGGUGCCGUAACUUCGGGAGAAGGCACGCUGACACGUAGGUGAAGUGAUUUACUCAUGGAGCUGAAGUCAGUCGAAGAUACCAGCUGGCUGCAACUGUUUAUUAAAAACACAGCACUGUGCAAACACGAAAGUGGACGUAUACGGUGUGACGCCUGCCCGGUGCCGGAAGGUUAAUUGAUGGGGUCAGCGCAAGCGAAGCUCCUGAUCGAAGCCCCGGUAAACGGCGGCCGUAACUAUAACGGUCCUAAGGUAGCGAAAUUCCUUGUCGGGUAAGUUCCGACCUGCACGAAUGGCGUAAUGAUGGCCAGGCUGUCUCCACCCGAGACUCAGUGAAAUUGAACUCGCUGUGAAGAUGCAGUGUACCCGCGGCAAGACGGAAAGACCCCGUGAACCUUUACUAUAGCUUGACACUGAACAUUGAGCCUUGAUGUGUAGGAUAGGUGGGAGGCUUUGAAGUGUGGACGCCAGUCUGCAUGGAGCCGACCUUGAAAUACCACCCUUUAAUGUUUGAUGUUCUAACGUGGACCCGUAAUCCGGGUUGCGGACAGUGUCUGGUGGGUAGUUUGACUGGGGCGGUCUCCUCCUAAAGAGUAACGGAGGAGCACGAAGGUUGGCUAAUCCUGGUCGGACAUCAGGAGGUUAGUGCAAUGGCAUAAGCCAGCUUGACUGCGAGCGUGACGGCGCGAGCAGGUGCGAAAGCAGGUCAUAGUGAUCCGGUGGUUCUGAAUGGAAGGGCCAUCGCUCAACGGAUAAAAGGUACUCCGGGGAUAACAGGCUGAUACCGCCCAAGAGUUCAUAUCGACGGCGGUGUUUGGCACCUCGAUGUCGGCUCAUCACAUCCUGGGGCUGAAGUAGGUCCCAAGGGUAUGGCUGUUCGCCAUUUAAAGUGGUACGCGAGCUGGGUUUAGAACGUCGUGAGACAGUUCGGUCCCUAUCUGCCGUGGGCGCUGGAGAACUGAGGGGGGCUGCUCCUAGUACGAGAGGACCGGAGUGGACGCAUCACUGGUGUUCGGGUUGUCAUGCCAAUGGCACUGCCCGGUAGCUAAAUGCGGAAGAGAUAAGUGCUGAAAGCAUCUAAGCACGAAACUUGCCCCGAGAUGAGUUCUCCCUGAGACUUAGAGUCUCCUGAAGGAACGUUGAAGACGACGACGUUGAUAGGCCGGGUGUGUAAGCGCAGCGAUGCGUUGAGCUAACCGGUACUAAUGAACCGUGAGGCUUAACCUUACAACGCCGAAG